rnacentral:tRNA from 1 species
UGGCUUAGAUGGUAAAGUGUCUGCCCGCAAUGCAGGAGACCUGGGUUCGAUCCCAG